UACGUAGGGGGCAAGCGUUGUCCGGAUUUAUUGGGCGUAAAGAGCGUGUAGGCGGCUUGGUAGGUCUCGCGUCAAAACCUGAGGCUCAACCUCAGUUCGCGUGGGAAACCACCUAGCUAGAGUCCGGAAGAGGAGAACGGAAUUCCCAGUGUAGCGGUGAAAUGCGCAGAUAUUGGGAAGAACACCAGUGGCGAAGGCGACUACCUGGCCUGUUCUUGACGCUGAGGCGCGAAAGCUAGGGGAGCAAACGGG
rnacentral:rRNA from 1 species